ensembl:lncRNA
AGGUAUGUGGUGUGAAGAUUGCAUGCUGCAUCUCUACCUUCUUGAGUUCUAUGUGAACCUUUACGUGGAAACAGAUCUUUGUUUCUGGUCUUAAAGCAUUCAUAUGAUACUUGCCUCUUGUGCUAAAAGGGCACUUAUAAGUGGUUAAAUGCUGGGCGAAAAUAUUUCCUUAGACUCAUGCUUAUCCCACAAAGUAUUGUACAGGAGGAAAACCUGUUUCCUCAGAAUUCACUGUGGAACUGACUAGAAGAAUGUGAUGGUCCUGGUGACCCAUCCCAGAGACCUACCUGGAUAGCUGUGGGAAGGCCGCAAAGGCUUCAAGAGCUGCUGUGUGUUUGGAGACAAUGUACAAUUGUUAAGAUGCAAUACAGAACCGUUGCAUUGACCUGGCACUGUUUGCAUACAGCUGGUAACUGAGAUAGUGUUGAACCAAGACAUGUAAGGUGACAAGACAAUAGUACUUGUUCUGUUCACCUUUAAGUCCCACAAAAGCUGAAAAUACAUUUCCAAGUAUUAUUUCCGCGUGCCUGGCAUGCAAAAAUAUUUAAAGGAGACCUGUGUAUGGAUACACCAAACAAUGCUAUCUAGUUAAGCUGAAGAUCAAUUUCCACUAAACAUAAAGCUUUUAUGUUAAAUAAAUAUUUCAGUUGCAGUCCCAGUACCUGGGAACAGUUAAGUAGCCUGUGGGGGUCAUGCUGAGCAAUACAUUCCUUCUAUUACAAAAUGGCUUAGGUCUGGGAUAGUGCUUGUAACGAGUAAUGUUAGAGAAAGCUUUUUAUCACAGAGUAAAUGAAAGGAGGGUCAGAUUAAGGUAUGAAUAGCUGCAUUAUCCUGUGGGAACACUAAUGAUUCCGUGUCAUUUAAUUACAAGAAAAGCUGUGUAGAAUAACAUACCAAGAGCAACGCUUUCUGGCAAAGAAAGUGGAUUUAGGAGAUUUUCUCUGAGCACCAUGGGUGCGAGCUCUUUAGAACAGACCAGUGCUUAGGCUGUGAAGGCCAUGUGUCUCCUGGAUCAGACCCCCCUCUUGCAGGUUGUUGUUCUAUCUGUAAAAUCAGUUACCUUGUGGUGACAUAGCUGCGGCAUUCUCUAUUCGACUCAUCUAGUCUGUGUCUCUGGACUGUGUUUUCCAGAACCUAGCAGCAAAUUUCUAGUUACUUACUGUAGAGUGAUGCAGCUUGCUGCAGCACUAAGGAUUUCCUGUGUCAAACUGUGGAUGGGGAAUUGAUGGUAUGAAGGAAGAAACCCCAGGAGAUGGGGCUACUGGCAGGGAACUGGACAUGAAGGAUGAGUGGCUGGCAGGGAGAUUGGUCCUGUCCAUAGAACAGCUUUCAGUGGUGUUGGGAAUAGGAUGGGGCUUCUGUUCUGCCUUCUGUUCAGCAGAGAAGUAGCUUGUUGAAAAGGAUUUCUGUGUGCUUGGGGAUGCUUAAAUGCCUUGAUUUAAGUAAUUGUGCAUCUUACUUGUUAUGUAUGGAUAGGUUUCUAACAUCGUGUUACAAACGUUAUUAUCUUAUGCAACAAUCACAAAUUCAUUAUGCAAGUCAUUGUACAAAAGCUACGUGCCCUUUGUGGCUGUAGCCCUUGAGCAUGUUAGUUUUCUACUAGAAGUUUUCCAUGAGGAAAAUAUUUGCAACCUUAAUUCUGAUGUAAUUGCUUUGCCUGGGAAUUUUAUGGUCAUUAAUUAGGUUAAUAACGAUCAUUUGAACACAAACAUAAUUAAUGCCCCACAGUAUUAAAAUUAAUCAUACAUUUAAAUCUAAAUUAAAUUAAUUAACAGUGAGAGUGAACAAUGGCCACGUUUCUGAUUAUACCAUGUCAAGGCUUCCUGAAGAAAACCCUCACUUAAAUAAUAGAGAUGGAUCACGUGUGUGUUUCAAUAACUAUCUGUUAGUAAUAAAUGAAUUACAGGGUAAAGAAGAUGCAGGGCUGACAUUCUAGAAUAUUUAAUUUUAUUUAUUUUUGGAUGUGGAGGGAAUUAUUUUUCUUAAGUUCUUUCUUUGCUGAACAAAAAUACACAAAGGAGUCUGGAGAGCAAAUCUUCAUCAGCUCUGCUCAGCAAAAGAGGUCCUUUGUGCCUAUGGGAUUCCUCAUGGCAUUUAGGGAAGGAGAGAGAACACUUCUACAGAUGUCUGCUGUAAUAGGGAUGUGAUGCAGCCUUGGUAGCCUUCUGCUGAAGGCUCAAAUCAGAGUUUGCACAAAGAUAGAUGUGUGAGCCAGCAUUGCUGUCCUCUUGCUGCUCCACUGUUUGCCCUGUGCUCAGCUUUUAUGGCAGAGUUUGGGUCCUAGGCUAUUCACAUGGGUUGGGUCUGGUGAAUGAGCCCAGUGGUGCAGCUAAGCUGUCAGGCCAAAGAGGAUCAGCAGAGCUCAGCCACUAUGGAACAGCCCCUGUCCUGAUAAUUUCUGAUCUCUCAGCUUCCUAGGGCUGGGGAAAGGAGCAGGAGCUCAGAAGCCAUUGCAUGCUCAGAGCUUCCCCAGUGGGGCCUGGCAGGAGACAAACUGGAGGGACCUCUGCGUGCAAGCCUCACCACAAGGCUCUUUUCACUGGAGGUGGGGAAAUCACUUGCCGGAUUUAAUAGAAAAUGUGAUUAGGGCUAACCUGAAUUUAAAUAAUUGUUAGGCUACUUAAUAGCUAUUAGCAUGCUCUAUCAUUCCCUAUCAGAGAAAUGCAAAUACAUGUCACUGCAUCAAUUUGUGAGAACACAGAUUGGAAGCUGAUAAUUGUCGCUGUAAUUUUCCACCCAAGAUCUCUUAAAAACUCCUCCUAUAGAUUUCCAUGACAGGCGGCCACCCAGAGACAUGGGAGGUUUUUGUUCUUAUACUACGAACCUCAGCACUUGCAAUAGUCUUUCUAUUAGCAGCAGUGAACUAAGGUGGGUGUUGGCAGGAAUAUAAAGAUGUAUUCAUUCUGCAUUUGCAAAUUAAUUUAUGUUUAGGGAUGAAAAAUGGAGUAUACACGGAAUUAAAACUCUCUGUAAUUUUAUAUAGCAUUAAAGUAACGGUUCCAUCCUGCUUCUGUUAGAGACUAAAAUUUUUAAUGAGCAUUGGAUAAAUGAUAUAUCUUGGCACAGGUUCUCUAAGUUCACCAUGUUUAAAAUAUAUAUAUAUAUUUUAAAAGCCUGAUGUCCAAUUUAGUGUUAGGUAACUCUUUUGCAAACAGACUCACAGUGGACGUGUUUGGCAGUUGUUUAACGUCGUCUUCCCCAGCUCUAACAGGGUCCUGUAACAGCAAUUUCUCUCUGCUUGCCAGACCAUGAAACAUUCUGUAAAGCCAUGCAAUAGAUUAUUUCAAAGAAAUAUCUGAAGACAGGCAGACUUUUUAUGUACAUUAAUUACCUCCAACAGAGCUGAGGAUCAGAUGAAUAUAGCUUAAUUUUUUUUUUUUUGAAAAAAAGCCCCAAACAUCAAUGAUGGUGAUUCCAUGAAAUACUGAUCCUAGGAUAAAAUUCAGGAGAUGGGUCUAAUCUAUGUCUGUUUUUACAUGAAGCAGUUGUUGGUAAUGAGCACCGUUGCAACGUAUUAAGAGUAAUCCGUCUUCUGAAAAUCACAUUUCUCAGAAUGUGGAGUCAAUUUCCCUUCUCAGUAUUUAUUCGUGUGCUACCGGUGUCAAAACAGAAACCACAAGCAAUGCCAUAAAGGAAAAAAAUGUAUUGUUUCCUUUCUGUAGUUGCCUGUUCUGAACUGGUGUUUGGUGAUGCCCCAGAGCUCACCCUUCGGGGAGUGGCACUCUGCACUUUCCAUGCUACAACGGCAGCAGUGCUGUAAAGGGCAGUGAAUGGACCUGGGCAUGUUGAAGUAUUGUUGUAAAUAAAUAAAUAAAAAUAAAAAAUCGAUUAUUUCUUU